GCUACCAUGCAGUCGAGCGAAGUGAGUCUAGAUGAAGUUUUCGGAUGGAAUUUGGACUUAUCUUAGGGGCGGACGGGUGAGUAACGCGUGAGAAACCUGCCUUUCACAAAGGGAUAGCCUCGGGAAACUGGGAUUAAUACCUUAUGACACUGAUAUACCACAUGGUAAAUAAGUUAAAGCGUAAAGCGGUGAAAGAUGGUCUCGCGUCCCAUUAGUUAGUUGGUGAGGUAACGGCUCACCAAGACCGCGAUGGGUAGCCGGCCUGAGAGGGUGAACGGCCACACUGGAACUGAGACACGGUCCAGACUCCUACGGGAGGCAGCAGUGGGGAAUAUUGCACAAUGGAGGAAACUCUGAUGCAGCGACGCCGCGUGAACGAUGAAGGUCUUCGGAUCGUAAAGUUCUGUCCUAGGGGACGAUAAUGACGGUACCCUAGGAGGAAGCCCCGGCUAACUACGUGCCAGCAGCCGCGGUAAUACGUAGGGGGCGAGCGUUGUCCGGAAUUAUUGGGCGUAAAGGGUUCGCAGGCGGUCUUUUAAGUCAGGUGUGAAAGGUCACGGCUCAACCGUGGUAAGCAUUUGAAACUGAAAGACUUGAGUUAAGGAGAGGAAAGUGGAAUUCCUAGUGUAGCGGUGAAAUGCGUAGAUAUUAGGAGGAAUACCAGUGGCGAAGGCGACUUUCUGGACUUAUACUGACGCUGAGGAACGAAAGCGUGGGGAGCAAACAGGAUUAGAUACCCUG
rnacentral:rRNA from 1 species